GAUGAAGAACGUAGCGAAAUGCGAUAAGUAAUGUGAAUUGCAGAAUUCCGUGAAUCAUCGAGUCUUUGAACGCACAUUGCGCCCCCUGGUAUUCCGGGGGGCAUGCCUGUCCGAGCGUCAUUGCUGCCCUCAAGCCCGGCUUGUGUGUUGGGCCUCGUCCCCCCUCCGCGGGGGACGGGCCCGAAAGGCAGCGGCGGCACCGUGUCCGGUCCUCGAGCGUAUGGGGCUUUGUCACCCGCUCUGUAGGCCCGGCCGGCGCCUUAGCCGACGACACAAUCUUUUUUUUCAGGUUGACCUCGGAUCAGGUAGGGAUACCCGCUGAACUUAAGCAUAUCAAUAAGCGGAGGA
rnacentral:misc_RNA from 1 species